rnacentral:rRNA from 1 species
UGCGUAGGCGGCCAGAUCAGUCAGGCGUGAAAGUUUUCGGCUUAACCGGAAAAUUGCGUUUGAUACUGUUUGGCUAGAAUCAGGAUGAGGUUGGCGGAAUGUGGCAUGUGGCGGUGAAAUGCAUAGAUAUGCCAUAGAACACCGAUUGCGAAGGCAGCUGGCUGGACCUGAAUUGACGCUGAGGCACGAAAGCGUGGGGAGCGAACAGGAUUAGAUACCCUGGUAGUCC